rnacentral:rRNA from 1 species
UGGGGAAUAUUGCACAAUGGGGGAAACCCUGAUGCAGCGACGCCGCGUGAGCGAAGAAGGUUUUCGAAUCGUAAAGCUCUUUCCUAUGAGAAGAUAAUGACGGUAUCAUAGGAGGAAGCCCCGGCUAAAUACGUGCCAGCAGCCGCGGUAAUACGUAUGGGGCGAGCGUUGUCCGGAAUUAUUGGGCGUAAAGGGUACGUAGGCGGUCUAUUAAGUCAGGUGUGAAAGCGUGAGGCUUAACCUCAUUAAGCACUUGAAACUGAUAGACUUGAGUGAAGGAGAGGAAAGUGGAAUUCCUAGUGUAGCGGUGAAAUGCGUAGAUAUUAGGAGGAAUACCGGUGGCGAAGGCGGCUAUCUGGACAGUAACUGACGCUGAGGCGCGAAAGCGUGGGGAGCAAACAGG